UGAUAUGAAGCGAUAUUUAUUGCGUUUAGUUUCGGCCUAAAAUUAAGAUUUAUAAUUCUCUUAUCAU
rnacentral:tRNA from 1 species